rnacentral:rRNA from 1 species
AUUGAACGCUGGCGGCAUGCCUUACACAUGCAAGUCGAACGGCAGCACCCUUCCUUUCUCCUGUUGUCGAGUGGCGAACGGGUGAGUAAUACAUCGGUACAUUUCCUUUAGUUGUGGAUAGCCCUCCGAAAGCCGGAUUUAUACCCCAUACGAUCUUCGUAUGAAAUCGGGGGGCUUUCGGGCCUCGCGCUAUAGGGUUUGCCGUUGGCUGAUUAGCUCUUUGGUGGGGUAAAGUCCUAUCAAGGCGACUAUGAGUAUCUGAUGUGAGAGGACGACCGGCAACACUGGAACGGAGACAGGGACAAGACGACUAAGGGAGGGAGCAGAGGGGAAUGUUGGACAAUGGGCGAAAGCAUGAUACAGCAAUGCCGAGUGUGAGAAGAAGGCGUUGGGGUUGUAAAGCAGUUUUGUGCGGAAAGAAAUGCUUGGGCCUAAGACGGACGGGGGAUGACGGUAACGGAAGAAUAAGCACCGGCUAACUACGUG